AAUUUUAAUUUCACUACCACACUAUUCUAAUUAUUGCAAUUUCAUACUAUAUUUACUAUCUAACUACACUAGUUUCUCUUUACUAUCAUUUCAAAGUUUUCUUGGCUUUAUUUUCUUUUCUAGAAGUGGUUGGUGUUUUUGGUUUUUUUUUUUUAAGUCUUAGAAAAGCAAUUCUACAGAUUUUUGAGUUUUUAAAAAUAUAAUGUAAAAUUUACCAUCUUGGACAUUUUUAACUAUGUAGUUAGUAAUAUUAAGUAUGCACACAUCAUUUUUGCAACAUCCUCCAGAACAUUUUUCAUCUUACAAAAGAGAAAGUAUCUGUUCUGCUUCCUGCCCUGUAAAUUUGACUAAACACUUCAUAUAUGUUUCUGUCCUUUUUUUGAUUCCUUGGUGUCUGUUAAUAUUAUGUUUGAGAAUUUCUCCUUUUAAGGCUGAAUAAUAUUCAUUGUAGUUAUGUACCACAGUUUGUUUCUCUAUUCAUCUCUUGGUGGUUAAUUCUACUUUUUGGCUAUGAUUAGUAGUGCUACAAAAACAUGUGGAGAUCCCUGAUCCCUAGCUUUUAAAUAUUUUGAUUAUAUGUUGCUUCUUUUUUAAUUGGGUGCUCACUAAACCCAUAAGCUUGAUAAGAAUAAACUUUUUAAGAAUAAAUGUGACUGCCCGCAGCCACAGGAACCGGGUCCUCCUGAAAAGCAGGCUGGGGCUAAAAGAGAAUAAAUGGUGAGAAAAGGACGAGGUCAAGACAAAUGCUGAUCAAAACCCAAAGUUUACUGAAAUGCUCUGCUUAUAAAGGGGGAAAGCCCAUCUCCCACAGAUCCAUUCUUGAUGCCUGUUGCCAGCCUGUAAACAAUUUGUCUGACAGCACUAGUUUGGCAAGAAGGUGUCAAUCACUGGGUUGCCUGCUGUCUCAGGAAUCUCUCAGCCUCUCAGCAGGUAGCAGUGUCUUGGAGAAGAACAGUACAAUAGAACCAUCUAGGUAGAUGGGAAGGCUCCACCCCAGGUGGUCUCAUUUUUGUGGCAGCAAGGUCUGAGCCAGCCUGCUCAAGACUGGGGGAGGCUCCAAUUCCUCCCUAAAUAUAUAAUAAAAAUUAGCUGGACUGGGGCAUAAAAUUUAUUUAUGCUCCAUAGUCCUGCCUGGGAAUUAUGGUGGCUGGCGUCCAUGCCUGGCUUGGAACUUAGAUUUUCUAUGAACUAUUCCUAUUUGUCAAGGAGAGUAUGUGCAGCUUGCUUGUGUUUAUUUUGCACAAACAUGACUCUGUGGUUUAUUAUUAAUAAACCACGGCCUCUUAGCACAUAUGUCUGUCUUAGAUUUUGAAAUAGUCCAGAAAUCUCAGUGACCCAUCAUUGACUAACCGGCCUUCAUAGCACACCUUAUUCCCAAUCAGACCAAAGCCACAAUAUAUACUCAAUAUGUUUCUUCAUAUCGAUGAAUUUCUGCCACCUGUGCUUGGUGGAGGCGAGGUUUCAAGCUUGGUGGAGACAGGCUGUAGGGCGGUGACUGACCUACUUGAAAUACAAAGCAGAGAAUUGAAAAGCAACAGGAUAAAGGCUUCUUUGGGGGAAGUCCAGGUACUAUAUUCAGUUGCAAAUUAGCAAUGAUCAAGCUCAAACUCUGGCCUCAUCAACAGAAAGGCUGUAAAUUCUCUGGAAGUGGAGGCUUUGCUCCAAAUUAACUCUUCUGGCUAAAAAAGAUUUUUAGCCAUCAUCAAGGUUGGAAUCAUACUUACUAGAAGAUUCAGGGUCUGUGUCCACUUGACGAACCAAUCUUUCAGGCAGCCAUUGCGCUCUGUCUUCUUUUUGUUAAAAACAAAC
rnacentral:lncRNA from 1 species